GAUGUUCCGCGAGGCUGUGAACCAGGCCAACAAGCGGCAUGGCUCCUGGAAGAUCCAGCUCAACGCCACCUCCGUCACCCACAAGCCCAACGCCAUCCAGAUGGCCUUGUCGGUGUGCGAAGACCUCAUCUCCAGCCAGAGCAUCCACCUGAGCUUCCUGCGCACCGUGCCGCCCUACUCCCACCAGUCGAGCGUCUGGUUCGAGAUGAUGCGCGUCUACAGCUGGAACCACAUCAUCCUCCUGGUCAGCGACGACCACGAGGGCCGGGCGGCCCAGAAGCGCCUGGAGACGCUGCUGGAGGAGCGCGAGUCCAAGGCUGAGAAGGUGCUGCAGUUCGACCCGGGGACCAAGAACGUGACGGCCCUGCUGAUGGAGGCGCGGGAGCUGGAGGCCCGGGUCAUCAUCCUCUCUGCCAGGUGAGGCCCCUCCGCCCGCUUCACCCAGGGCCAAUGUCGGGCAUCAGCCUCUAAGACGCCCUCACAAAAGACAGCUGUCCGGCACGAGCACACUGGGCCUUGGAGAUGGGGCUGGACAUCCCCGCCCUGGGAAAAAGCAGACGCAGCCCUGGGGAUAGAGGGGGCAGCACGGGGCUCUGGGAGCUGGGUUCAGGGAAAGGGCCUAGGGAGGGGACGUGCAGCCCGCAGGUGGAGCUGGGCGGGAGGACCCACAGUGGGAAGAAGCCGGGGUCCUGGGACCGAAGGGCUGGAGCAGCCGCAAUGGGUGGUGCGGGAGGGGAACCAAUUAGGGACCCUAACUCCAGGCUGCUGCCGGCUGAGCCUGGCCCCGACUGUGACCUUGGGGAUGAGCCCACGGUAAAAAAUCUCCCUUUUUGCAAAUGGCUCUGUCCUCCUGGGAGGGGAAAGCCCAGGUCACCAGAAUGGGAAAAGGACGAGCCUCGCCCCAUGAGACAUGGCCCGACCCCGCUGUCUGCCUGUCCCAGAAGCUGUGCGGGCUCCAGCGGUGUGGAGGAAAACAGCAGGGGCCACCCUGCAGCAGGCCAGAAAGAACCAGCCACACUCUGAGCAGCAGGGCAGGUGCCUGUUGGCAUGGUCAGUCAACAAACCUUUGGUCCAGUGCCAGGUGCACCCCUCCUCCUGGGACAGAGCAGGGGGCGGCCAGCCAGGGCUCCUUGGGCUGGAAGGCAGGGAGCAGCCCCUUCUCGUAUUCAGUGGGGCCAGAUGGCUGGGACAGGUCAGCACAGAUCUCCCACUGUCCUCUGCCUGUGUGCACAACCACACGCUCACACACACAGACAUGAACACGAAUCACACACACACGUGCCUUGUGUGAUGAGACCCAUUUCCACCCACACAUACACGCGUCCAUGCCGGACGCACAGGACCCGACCCCCCCAGCUCCAGGAAGCCAGGCUGUCCCCCGGGAUCUCCUUGACCUUGGCCUCCAACCCGACACACUUGGAUCCUCCUCCCGAGGCCGCUGGGAGCAUUUUGCAGGACGAGUCCCACGAAGUCCGUCCUACUCUCUGACGCUUUUCUACUGACUGCCUCGGAGUUUCUCCUUCGUUUCCAAAACUUAAUUUUUUUUCCAGGAAAUCGACAGAACAAUGUAAAUCAAUGAUAAGUUAAACAAUUUUUAAGAAAAAAUUUUGUUCUGGAAA
rnacentral:lncRNA from 1 species